GUGCACACGGCUCCCAUGCGUUGUCUUCCGAGCGUCAGGCCGCCCCUACCCGUGCUUUCUGCUCUGCAGACCCUCUUCCUAGACCUCCGUCCUUUGUCCCAUCGCUGCCUUCCCCUCAAGCUCAGGGCCAAGCUGUCCGCCAACCUCGGCUCCUCCGGGCAGCCCUCGCCCGGGGUGCGCCCCGGGGCAGGACCCCCAGCCCACGCCCAGGGCCCGCCCCUGCCCUCCAGCCCUACGCCUUGACCCGCUUUCCUGCGUCUCUCAGCCUACCUGACCUUGUCUUUACCUCUGUGGGCAGCUCCCUUGUGAUCUGCUUAGUUCCCACCCCCCUUUAAGAAUUCAAUAGAGAAGCCAGACGCAAAACUACAGAUAUCGUAUGAGUCCAGUUUUGUGAAGUGCCUAGAAUAGUCAAAAUUCACAGAGACAGAAGCAGUGGUCGCCAGGAAUGGGGAAGCAAGGCGGAGUUGGGCAGCUCGUGUUCAAUGGUUUUGUCCGCCUUCCCUGCCUCCUCUUCUGGGGGAGUUAGAUCGAGUUGUAACAAGAACAUGCCACUGUCUCGCUGGCUGCAGCGUGUGGUCCCCUUACCAGAGUGAGGAUGCGAAGAGAAGGUGGCUGUCUGCAAACCAGGAAGAGAGCCCUCACCGGGAACCCGUCCAGCUGCCACCUUGAACUUGGACUUCCAAGCCUCCAGAACUGUGAGGGAUAAAUGUAUGAUUUUAAAGUC
rnacentral:lncRNA from 10 species